GAUGAACGCUGGCGGCGUGCUUAACACAUGCAAGUCGAACGGGAUCCGAGGAGCGUUUUUCGUUUUUUGGUGAGAGUGGCGAACGGGUGAGUAACACGUGAGUAACCUGUCCUUUUCUUUGGGAUAAGCUCCUGAAAGGGUGUUUAAUACCUUAUGUUCUGUCUGCCUCGCAUGGGGUGGGUGGGAAAGAUUUUUUCGGUGAAGGGUGGGCUCGCGGUCUAUCAGCUUGUUGGUGGGGUGAUGGCUUACCAAGGCUUUGACGGGUAGCCGGCCUGAGAGGGUGGUCGGUCACAUUGGGACUGAGAUACGGCCCAGACUCCUGCGGGAGGCAGCAGUGGGGGAUAUUGCACAAUGGGCGCAAGCCUGAUGCAGCGACGCCGCGUGGGGGAUGAAGGCCUUCGGGUUGUAAACUUCUUUUGCUCUGAACAAGGCGCAUCUUUGGGGUGUGUUGAGUGUAGGGGUUGAUUAGCGCCGGCUAACUACGUG
rnacentral:rRNA from 1 species